rnacentral:rRNA from 1 species
CAGCUCUCCGAGUAGUGUGGAUGUUUAUUGGGCCUAAAGCAUCCGUAGCUUGCUAAGCAAGUCCCCUGUUAAAUCCACCGAUUCAAUCGAUGGUUUGCGGGGGAUACUGUUUGGCUAGGGGACGGGAGAGGUCGACGGUAUUUCCGGGGUAGGGGUGAAAUCCUAUAAUCCCGGGAGGACCACCAGUGGCGAAGGCUGUCGACUAGAACGCGCCCGACAGUGAGGGAUGAAAGCUGGGGGAGCGAACCGGAUUAGAUACCCGAGUAGUCC